UUGUGUGGGCCAAACGUCAAGCCCAAAGCCAAAACAAUGAAAUAAGGAUAAGGGGGUGAGAACAUGUAUAAUGGGUGCAGAAAGCACAUGUUGGGUUAAGUUUGCAAGGCCCAACCGAGAUUUCAUGGAAGAAUCAAAAUGCUAUCAGCGAACAACAUUGCAAGGACAGUCAAAACCAAUUUCAAAAUCCCUAUUGCACGAGCUUGUGGCCUUCAGCUGAUCACCAUAAUCGCACCUUCGACCUUCAGCCUUCAAUCGAACCUUCAAACGCUCCCUCAACCCUCAGUCAAACUCCCUGAAUCAUCUAUUUCAAACGCAAUUGCGAUAAUCACUUCUCAAAAUUGUGCUUCAAGACGCCAUGGAAACCUUCGAUCGCACUCAAAAUUGCUUCCUGCAAACGCAAUUGUGAAUUGCAUCGUAUUCACUUCGAAUUCAACGGCCGUGGAAUCAUAUUGAAGCUCAGGCACGACGGAAUCCAACGUUUAGGUCGAUCUCGAUAAUCGAUUUUGAAUCGCAUACUUGAUAUGAAAGAUGGAGUAAAGUUUAUUCAUGAGUGAAUUGCAUCAAUAAUUUAAGUGAGUUUUGCAGAUCAUGUACCAAAAUCUGGCGCAGUUUCGACGACGUUACCGGCUUCGCAGCUUAAUCCAAAAGAAGAAGAUGUUGAAAAGUCUGCAUUGUCUCUGUUCAAAGUUUUAUCAAUUUUUUACAUAUGCAAUUGAGAAAUAUUAUAUCAAACCUCAUAAUAGAUAGUUUCUUUUUCUAAUUGAUUUGUACAUAUAAGAGUUCCAAAAAAGUUUGGUUAAAAUUGAAAGUGUGGUUGGUCAUGUUUAUCAUAUUGGAUUGUAGUUGAAAGGUGUUGUUGUGAAACUACUUUGACUUUUGAUAAAAUGUCAUUAAUGUUUAUAUA